AGCCCAGAGCCUGAAUCAGUGUGUGUGUUAGUGGAAGCGUCUGGAAAGGCGCGCGAUACAGGGUGACAGCCCCGUACACAAAAAUGCACAUACUGUGAGCUCGAUGAGUAGGGCGGGACACGUGGUAUCCUGUCUGAAUAUGGGGGGACCAUCCUCCAAGGCUAAAUACUCCUGACUGACCGAUAGUGAACCAGUACCGUGAGGGAAAGGCGAAAAGAACCCCGGCGAGGGGAGUGAAAAAGAACCUGAAACCGUGUACGUACAAGCAGUGGGAGCACAGAGCAAUCUGUGUGACUGCGUACCUUUUGUAUAAUGGGUCAGCGACUUAUAUUCUGUAGCAAGGUUAACCGAAUAGGGGAGCCGAAGGGAAACCGAGUCUUAACUGGGCGUUAAGUUGCAGGGUAUAGACCCGAAACCCGGUGAUCUAGCCAUGGGCAGGUUGAAGGUUGGGUAACACUAACUGGAGGACCGAACCGACUAAUGUUGAAAAAUUAGCGGAUGACUUGUGGCUGGGGGUGAAAGGCCAAUCAAACCGGGAGAUAGCUGGUUCUCCCCGAAAGCUAUUUAGGUAGCGCCUCGUGAAUUCAUCUCCGGGGGUAGAGCACUGUUUCGGCAAGGGGGUCAUCCCGACUUACCAACCCGAUGCAAACUGCGAAUACCGGAGAAUGUUAUCACGGGAGACACACGGCGGGUGCUAACGUCCGUCGUGAAGAGGGAAACAACCCAGACCGCCAGCUAAGGUCCCAAAGUCAUGGUUAAGUGGGAAACGAUGUGGGAAGGCCCAGACAGCCAGGAUGUUGGCUUAGAAGCAGCCAUCAUUUAAAGAAAGCGUAAUAGCUCACUGGUCGAGUCGGCCUGCGCGGAAGAUGUAACGGGGCUAAACCAUGCAC
rnacentral:rRNA from 1 species